rnacentral:rRNA from 1 species
UACGGGGGGGGCAAGCGUUGUUCGGAAUUACUGGGCGUAAAGGGCUCGUAGGCGGCCAACUAAGUCAGACGUGAAAUCCCUCGGCUUAACCGGGGAACUGCGUCUGAUACUGGUUGGCUUGAGGUUGGGAGAGGGAUGCGGAAUUCCAGGUGUAGCGGUGAAAUGCGUAGAUAUCUGGAGGAACACCGGUGGCGAAGGCGGCAUCCUGGACCAAUUCUGACGCUGAGGAGCGAAAGCCAGGGGAGCAAACGGG